UGGGGAAUAUUGCACAAUGGGGGAAACCCUGAUGCAGCGACGCCGCGUGAGCGAAGAAGGUUUUCGAAUCGUAAAGCUCUGUCCUAUGGGAAGAUAAUGACGGUACCAUAGGAGGAAGCCCCGGCUAACUACGUGCCAGCAGCCGCGGUAAUACGUAGGGGGCAAGCGUUGUCCGGAAUCACUGGGCGUAAAGGGUUCGCAGGCGGAAAUGCAAGUCAGUUGUGAAAGGCCGAGGCUCAACCUCUGUAAGCAAUUGAAACUGUAUUUCUUGAGAUGUGGAGAGGCAAGUGGAAUUCCUAGUGUAGAGGUGAAAUGCGUAGAUAUUAGGAAGAAUACCGGUGGCGAAGGCGACUUGCUGGACACAAACUGACGCUGAGGAACGAAAGCGUGGGUAGCAAACAGG
rnacentral:rRNA from 1 species